UACAGAGGGUGCAAGCGUUAAUCGGAAUUACUGGGCGUAAAGCGCGCGUAGGUGGCUUGUUAAGUUGGAUGUGAAAGCCCCGGGCUCAACCUGGGAACUGCAUUCAAAACUGACAAGCUAGAGUAUGGUAGAGGGUGGUGGAAUUUCCUGUGUAGCGGUGAAAUGCGUAGAUAUAGGAAGGAACACCAGUGCGAAGGCGACCACCUGGACUGAUACUGACACUGAGGUGCGAAAGCGUGGGGAGCAAACAGGAUUAGAAACCC
rnacentral:rRNA from 1 species